GAAGGUAGUGCUCAGUGGCAGAACACACGCUUAGCGUGCACAAGGUCCUGGGUUCAACUCCCAGUACCUCCA
rnacentral:tRNA from 1 species